GGGGUUGGGGAUUUAGCUCAGUGGUAGAGCGCUUACCUAGGAAGCGCAAGGCCCUGGGUUCGGUCCCCAGCUCCGAAAAAAAAGAACCAAAAAAAAAAAAAAAAAAUUAUU
rnacentral:scRNA from 1 species